UCCCUGAGGUCUGCUCCUGCCAGGCGGUCAAAGCGUCGACUGAAACCUGCUUUUACUAUCCGGAAGUACGCACGCCCCGCCCACACUACCAGCAAGCUCAACAUUGCAUAUUUCCAAACCUGACCGUUAAAAGUUAAACUCCGCGAUAAAUCAGGAAGCAGUGGUUUAGAAUUUAGAAUUGUGCAAGGGUACGUUCUCUGUGCAGGCUUCGUCCACGCAAAUGAGACCUCAUGGCAACACCUGAAAAGCGCAUUCUGCCACAUGCGGAAAACCACCAGGUAACUCUUCUCUCUUGCUGAGAAGGACGUGAGGAAGAGCUGUGUGUGUUUUGAGGAAACCAAAAGACAAAUCACUCAAGAGUCUCUCUGAGCCUGACACCUCUUUGAACAACCUCCUCAACUCGCCACACCUCUGCUGUAAACAACCAAGUUUUUCAAACAGAGGAUCGCAUUAGGUGUAUGAGCUCCACUUGUUUUGACAGCUGCUCUGCUGUGCUAGUAUAAACGGAGGACUUGGACACGAUUGGUGUAAUGAGCAUUAAACACAUACUAGUGGAUGCCAUCAAACAUCAAGCAGGGCCCUCAGGGACCUCAUUAGAACUGCACCCCAACUGGUCUGACGACUAAGUCUACUUGUAGUCAUAUAGAAACACACACACACUUUCAACUAUAAAAAGUUCAAGUCAGUGAGGCAGUGUCCCAGCAGUCUUUUUUACAAUACCUGUUCUAUAUUUAAAGCAGUAUUGUACAGGAGCUUCCAACAUUUUUCAAUAAGAGAGUGACCUUGCCAAAAUAAAAAGAGCCGGGAGCUACUCGUGUUGCACCAGUUGUUCAUUUUCAACUAAAGCUGGCUGAACUUUUGAAAAUGGUCUUGUUUUUUUCUACGUUAUCUCCCGUCAUAACAUUGGAAAAACUCUUGUAACCAGACAAUGGCAAGCUAACAUCACAGGUGAUCUACAAUUUGCAUCACUUGGCACCAUUUUAUAUAAAAACAGUACUUCAUAUACUGUUACUUAAUUCUUUCACCCUUUGGCAAGCAACUGCUAUUUUGCAGUCUACCAACUGGAGACCCUGGAUUAAUGACUCCAUUGAUAAAUUAUGUAUUUUCUCAAAUAAUAUUGUUUUAGUUUCUCUGCAUUCCUCCAUGAUAGCCCUUUUUGUUGUUGUUUUUCAA